ACAUGAAGCCUUAAUUCAGCUUUUGCUCAUCGAAACGUCUCUUUCUCAGCUCUUGUCAUAUAUAUACUUUCAUAUGUGUGGGUAGAUGAAUAAAGAUCAGUCUUACAAACAGCUUACGUGUACGUGUGUUACUUAUUACUCCGUCACAAUGCAUAUUCUACAUGGCGCAGUCAGUAGGAUAUAUUAGUUAAUUCAGCUUUUGCUCAUUGAAACCCCCUCUUUCUCAGCUCUUGUCAUAUAUAUACUUCCAUAUGUGUGGGUAGAUGAAUAAAGAUCAGUCUUACAACCGGCUUACGUGUGCUACUUAUUCCUCCGUCACAAUGCAUAUUCUACAUGGCGCAGUCGGUAGGAUAUACUAGGUAAUUCAGUUUUUGCUCAUCGAAACCUCUCUUUCUCAACUUUGAUACUCUGACCGUUUAUAGUAGUCUGACAGUCUGACCUAUGCAGAGUUCAAUUCUCGGCCCUGCCUCUCGCUACUGCAAUUUUAAAACAUUAAUAAUUUUAUUUUUAUUAUCGUCGAACAUUAUCGUGUUAAGGGGUGUACCGAUAAAAAACUGUCAAAUGAAAUGUUCAAAUGAAAAAAACUGUUGCGGUUGAGAACAAUCUAAGGGUUUUAGAAUAACUACAAUAAAAAGCGACUUUUAAUUUAGAUAAUUGUCAGUUUUUUUAUUUAUAAUUUUUCUGUAGGAAAGAUAGGCAGCUUCUUCCUAGCGCAUUCAGUGGCAGCCUUUUACGGACCCGUUUUUCAUAUUUGCCUGCAUCAGCUCAUCAUCUGCUAGAAUUGUUAAUGUUUUUUGGCUGGUUCAUUCUUCUCUUUUAAUACACUUUUGAUUUGAGCCCAAUAAUAGUUGAGAGAACGGCGCUGCAUGACGUUUGGAGCUCUUACUUUAUUCUAUGUCAACUGCCAAAUGCGAUUUUUGUACGAAGGAAAUUGUAUGAUUUUCGACUUGGCCUAGAAUUAAGUAACACACAUUUUCUGUAGCUUUGGCUAUUCUAUCCUUCGUACGAAGAACUGAACUGACUUUAUAAACGAUUUGUGAUACUUCUUACAGGAGCUUACCCAAUAAAGUUUUUCCCCAAAUUUCUGAUCGAUAUAAGUAGUGUGGCGAAAUUACGCACGCAUUUUCUGGACGUGAACUUAGUGCUAGGGGCAAACACAAGCCUAACCGAUACUCUGAACUUAUUCGACGUAUUAAGCAAGACUAAUGAUGACUUCUGGUACUUGGAAGUUUUGAAGAAACAUCUGGAAGUCGUUGCUCAUAUACCCGUCCGAAAUGUAAGUAUUCUGCCAUCAGCAACAUAGAUUUUCUUUAUCUUCCUCGCGUUGUCCCGGCAUUUUUUGCAGUUAGUAAGUACAAGGAUUGAUAAAGUAUGUACAUUAUUGUAUUCUCGUUAUUUUCAGAUUGGCACUUUAGCUGGGAAUCUUAUACUGAAACAUGAGCAUCCCGAUUUUCAGUCAGAUAUUUUCCUGCUCUUCUCUUGUGUUGGCGCCAUUAUAACGCUAGUGGACCGUACAAUGCAGCAGAAAGAAAUGAGUCUUCCAGAAUUUCUGACCACAAACGUAGUGGGCAAGGUCAUGACAACAAUUAAAUUGCCACCUUUGUCCAGAAACCACAGGAUCGUUACAUACAAGAUAAGACCAAAAGCCCAAAACGCACAUGCUGAAGUCAACGGUGCUUUCCUCUUCAGAUUCGACCCCAAAACCCACAAAAUUACCAAGGCUUCCAUCGUCUUCGGGGGUAUAAACCCUUCCUUUACCCACGCGUAUGAUACAGAGCAGUUCUUGAUCGGACGGGAUCUUUUCACGAAUGAGACAUUGCAGGGAGCCCUGCAUUGCUUGGAAAAGGAGGUGGAUCCGGACUUUAAUCCACCUGAGCCAAGUCCGCAUUAUAGGAAGAAAGUAGCUCUAGCUUUAUUUUACAAGGUAACUUUUGGUCCCAACUAAAUAAACUAUAUAGUACCUAAACACCCCUAUAAUGGAACAGGCACCGGUAAUGGGAUGGUAUAGACAAAUCCUGUAAAACAAGUAUUUACCAUCAGUUUUUAAUCGCUGGCAACAUUUUACCAUAAACAAGAGCCAAAGGGCUGCUUAAGUUCAAUUUUUCGUGGAUCUUUGUUAGUUUGAAAACCGCCAUAUAUCGCAUGACUAGAGCAAGAAACCAUAGUUUUAAUUGGUUAAUAAAAUGGAAACUAAUUGCAGUAGCUUUCAUUAAAUACAUGGAAAACAUAAAGGACGAAUUGGACAUAUAAAUUUAAAGCACAAAGCGGUAGAAAUUUUACAGACGUCGGUGAAAUAUUAAAAAUACUCCAAAUUUCUCUGAAAUAUCCCAUGAUUGGUGCCGUUAACAUACGUGUUGUCAGCACAAAUCGAAUAUUUUAUUUUAUUAUAUUAUAACCAACAGCUUUAAAUUUACAAUUAUUAAAGAAGAGACGUUUUCCAGACAGAUAUUCGUACAUUGACCCGUCUGUUGCUAUCUCUA